rnacentral:rRNA from 1 species
UUAAGCGACUAAGCGUACACGGUGGAUGCCCUGGCAGUCAGAGGCGAUGAAGGACGUGCUAAUCUGCGAUAAGCGUCGGUAAGGUGAUAUGAACCGUUAUAACCGGCGAUUUCCGAAUGGGGAAACCCAGUGUGUUUCGACACACUAUCAUUAACUGAAUCCAUAGGUUAAUGAGGCGAACCGGGGGAACUGAAACAUCUAAGUACCCCGAGGAAAAGAAAUCAACCGAGAUUCCCCCAGUAGCGGCGAGCGAACGGGGAGGAGCCCAGAGCCUGAAUCAGUGUGUGUGUUAGUGGAAGCGUCUGGAAAGGCGCGCGAUACAGGGUGACAGCCCCGUACACAAAAAUGCACAUGCUGUGAGCUCGAUGAGUAGGGCGGGACACGUGGUAUCCUGUCUGAAUAUGGGGGGACCAUCCUCCAAGGCUAAAUACUCCUGACUGACCGAUAGUGAACCAGUACCGUGAGGGAAAGGCGAAAAGAACCCCGGCGAGGGGAGUGAAAAAGAACCUGAAACCGUGUACGUACAAGCAGUGGGAGCACGCUUAGGCGUGUGACUGCGUACCUUUUGUAUAAUGGGUCAGCGACUUAUAUUCUGUAGCAAGGUUAACCGAAUAGGGGAGCCGAAGGGAAACCGAGUCUUAACUGGGCGUUAAGUUGCAGGGUAUAGACCCGAAACCCGGUGAUCUAGCCAUGGGCAGGUUGAAGGUUGGGUAACACUAACUGGAGGACCGAACCGACUAAUGUUGAAAAAUUAGCGGAUGACUUGUGGCUGGGGGUGAAAGGCCAAUCAAACCGGGAGAUAGCUGGUUCUCCCCGAAAGCUAUUUAGGUAGCGCCUCGUGAAUUCAUCUCCGGGGGUAGAGCACUGUUUCGGCAAGGGGGUCAUCCCGACUUACCAACCCGAUGCAAACUGCGAAUACCGGAGAAUGUUAUCACGGGAGACACACGGCGGGUGCUAACGUCCGUCGUGAAGAGGGAAACAACCCAGACCGCCAGCUAAGGUCCCAAAGUCAUGGUUAAGUGGGAAACGAUGUGGGAAGGCCCAGACAGCCAGGAUGUUGGCUUAGAAGCAGCCAUCAUUUAAAGAAAGCGUAAUAGCUCACUGGUCGAGUCGGCCUGCGCGGAAGAUGUAACGGGGCUAAACCAUGCACCGAAGCUGCGGCAGCGACGCUUAUGCGUUGUUGGGUAGGGGAGCGUUCUGUAAGCCUGUGAAGGUGUGCUGUGAGGCAUGCUGGAGGUAUCAGAAGUGCGAAUGCUGACAUAAGUAACGAUAAAGCGGGUGAAAAGCCCGCUCGCCGGAAGACCAAGGGUUCCUGUCCAACGUUAAUCGGGGCAGGGUGAGUCGACCCCUAAGGCGAGGCCGAAAGGCGUAGUCGAUGGGAAACAGGUUAAUAUUCCUGUACUUGGUGUUACUGCGAAGGGGGGACGGAGAAGGCUAUGUUGGCCGGGCGACGGUUGUCCCGGUUUAAGCGUGUGGGCUGGUUUUCCAGGCAAAUCCGGAAAAUCAAGGCUGAGGCGUGAUGACGAGGCACUACGGUGCUGAAGCAACAAAUGCCCUGCUUCCAGGAAAAGCCUCUAAGCAUCAGGUAACAUCAAAUCGUACCCCAAACCGACACAGGUGGUCAGGUAGAGAAUACCAAGGCGCUUGAGAGAACUCGGGUGAAGGAACUAGGCAAAAUGGUGCCGUAACUUCGGGAGAAGGCACGCUGAUAUGUAGGUGAAGUCCCUCGCGGAUGGAGCUGAAAUCAGUCGAAGAUACCAGCUGGCUGCAACUGUUUAUUAAAAACACAGCACUGUGCAAACACGAAAGUGGACGUAUACGGUGUGACGCCUGCCCGGUGCCGGAAGGUUAAUUGAUGGGGUCAGCGCAAGCGAAGCUCUUGAUCGAAGCCCCGGUAAACGGCGGCCGUAACUAUAACGGUCCUAAGGUAGCGAAAUUCCUUGUCGGGUAAGUUCCGACCUGCACGAAUGGCGUAAUGAUGGCCAGGCUGUCUCCACCCGAGACUCAGUGAAAUUGAACUCGCUGUGAAGAUGCAGUGUACCCGCGGCAAGACGGAAAGACCCCGUGAACCUUUACUAUAGCUUGACACUGAACAUUGAGCCUUGAUGUGUAGGAUAGGUGGGAGGCUUAGAAGUGUGGACGCCAGUCUGCAUGGAGCCGACCUUGAAAUACCACCCUUUAAUGUUUGAUGUUCUAACGUUGACCCGUAAUCCGGGUUGCGGACAGUGUCUGGUGGGUAGUUUGACUGGGGCGGUCUCCUCCUAAAGAGUAACGGAGGAGCACGAAGGUUGGCUAAUCCUGGUCGGACAUCAGGAGGUUAGUGCAAUGGCAUAAGCCAGCUUGACUGCGAGCGUGACGGCGCGAGCAGGUGCGAAAGCAGGUCAUAGUGAUCCGGUGGUUCUGAAUGGAAGGGCCAUCGCUCAACGGAUAAAAGGUACUCCGGGGAUAACAGGCUGAUACCGCCCAAGAGUUCAUAUCGACGGCGGUGUUUGGCACCUCGAUGUCGGCUCAUCACAUCCUGGGGCUGAAGUAGGUCCCAAGGGUAUGGCUGUUCGCCAUUUAAAGUGGUACGCGAGCUGGGUUUAGAACGUCGUGAGACAGUUCGGUCCCUAUCUGCCGUGGGCGCUGGAGAACUGAGGGGGGCUGCUCCUAGUACGAGAGGACCGGAGUGGACGCAUCACUGGUGUUCGGGUUGUCAUGCCAAUGGCACUGCCCGGUAGCUAAAUGCGGAAGAGAUAAGUGCUGAAAGCAUCUAAGCACGAAACUUGCCCCGAGAUGAGUUCUCCCUGACCCUUUAAGGGUCCUGAAGGAACGUUGAAGACGACGACGUUGAUAGGCCGGGUGUGUAAGCGCAGCGAUGCGUUGAGCUAACCGGUACUAAUGAACCGUGAGGCUUAACCUU